CUUACCUACGGGGGGCAGCAGUGAGGAAUAUUGGUCAAUGGGCUUACGCCUGAACCAGCCAAGUCGCGUGAGGGAAUAAGGCCCUACGGGUCGUAAACCUCUUUUGCCGGGGAGCAAGGGCGGGGACGUGUCCCGGCCCGGAGAGUACCCGGAGAAAAAGCAUCGGCUAACUCCGUGCCAGCAGCCGCGGUAAUACGGAGGAUGCGAGCGAUAUCCGGAUUUAUUGGGUUUAAAGGGUGCGUAGGCGGGCUUUUAAGUCAGCGGUAAAAAUUCGGGGCUCAACCCCGCCCGGCC
rnacentral:rRNA from 1 species